rnacentral:rRNA from 1 species
GAUGAACGCUGGCGGCGUGCUUAACACAUGCAAGUCGAACGAUGCAGCCCAGCUUGCUGGGUGGAUUAGUGGAGAACGGGUGAGUAACACGUGAGUAACCUGCCCUUAACUCUGGGAUAAGCCAGGGCAACUGGGUCUAAUACCGGAUAGGAGCGUCCACCGCAUGGUGGGUGUUGGAAAGAUUUAUCGGUUUUGGAUGGACUCGCGCCCUAUCAGCUUGUUGGGGAGGUAAUGGCACACCAAGGCGACGAAAGGUAGCCGGCCUGGGAGGGUGACCUGCCACACUGGGACUGAAACGAGGCCCGGACUCCUACGGGAGGCAGCAGUGGGGUAUAUUGCACAAUGGGCUCAAGCCUGGUGCAGCGACGCCGCGUGGGGUAUGACGGCCUUCGGGUUGUAAUCCUCUUUCAGUAGGGAAGAAGCGAAAGUGACGGUACCUGCAGAAGAAGCACCGGCUAACUACGUG